GACUUAUCCGCCUUCAUUUCUAUCUUGCAUAUCUCAUUCAAAUGCAAGUUUUUAAACUGAUGCAAUCGCCUUUGCCUGAAAAUCAUAAGACUGCCCUCCCAUUUCUGUUCAAUCUUUUUAUUUACUCAUCGAAGGAGAGAAGUUUAAAUCUGAGCCAUAUAUCAAAUUCCCCCUGUCUAGUUUUACGUUUUUGGGCGAGUAAUCCGCACUCAGCAGUCAGCCCGUAUCCAAUCCGUCGGUUCGCCAAGUCUUAAGUCAACGUUGAACCAUAUAAAGCAGUUGGGCCGUGAGCCCGAAACGGCAUAGGCAUGAUUCACUCAGUACUCCUCCCGCCUCGCCGUGAUUUCCAGUGAAAGCGGAAACAGAACAAAACGAAUCUUUUUGAUCAUGAUUAGGCAUCGAGAGGCUGAGACAGAUUAACUGUUGCUUUUCUUUUCAGAUCCAUCGUCAGCUGGAAAAGAAACAUUUCUCACAGGAACCCACCGCGGUUGAAAUUCGAGAGUCAAAAACGGCAUUCGUCAUGCUUGUCUUCACUCCACCUCACACCAUCACGCGCUUUAUAUCCGCUCCGUAGAAAUAAAAUAAUCAAAUUCGUCUCUCUCUAAAACCCGAAGGCCGUUAAAUUCAAGAAGUCGGAGGGCGGAGGCCUACUCUGGCCUUUCCUCAGAUCCACAUUACAAUUUACAUGCACUGCUCAUCGCCUUUUCAAAGCUUAGUGUCUCUUGCUGACGGAAUCAUUUUUGUUUAUCUUUUCAAUACGCUCGGCAUUUGACCGAGGAGAAAUUUUCAUAAGAUUUCUUCGGCGAAUCGAACUUAAGAUAAGUUUACGGGACAAUCCUGUGACUUUGGUGAAAGAUCAUGGAUCACAGGACUGCUGAUGCUGAAUUUAGGCGAAGUGGAUCAUUUGAUAAAGCAAGCAGUGCAAGUUCUUCACUGAGAAGGGGUUCCUUAAGUUUGUCUGGUACUUUGCGAUCUCGUCGAGAUAAUGACAUUGAAAGUGAGACUGUUUCAGAGGCAGGUGAUAUUGGGGAUCGUGUGCUUCACAGUGACAGGAUCAGUGACAAUGGUAGCCUGCAGUUCUCUAUUGAUCAUGCAUUAGAAAAUGGAGAGAUUAUGUCCAUUCCAGAGAAUGAUCUAUUCCAAUCUUUGGGGUUUGGGCCUCGUCAUCCCACUGCCCACAAUACAGUCUCUAUGGUGUCACCUUUACCAAUCAUAUCUCCUUCCACCAAGCCAUUAGUUUGCUCUGAGGAUCAAAAACAAGAGAAGGAGAAAGUGUUACCAUUGUCAUUGGAGUAUAUAUCAUGUCUUCUCCAUUUGGCUGUUUUUGGGAUUCUUGGGACAUUAACAAGGUAUUUGCUGCAAGAACUUUUUGGCCCCAGUAUUGCUCGCGUGACAAGUGAAGGGAGCAUUCUAUACCUCGACCUUCCUUCCAACAUGGUCGGUUCUUUCUUGAUGGGUUGGUGGGGUGUUGUUUUCAAAGAAGACAUAUCCAAAAUGUCUGAAUAUUUAGCCAUCGGUUUGACAACUGGCUACUUGGGGAGCCUUACAACUUUCAGUGGUUGGAAUCAGAAAAUGCUUGAUCUCAGCGUCAAUGGCCAGUGGGUGUUUGCUUUUCUCGGCUUUUUCCUUGGGUUGUUUCUUGCAGCCUACUCCAUAAUUUUUGGGAUUGAGACAGCCAAAGGUUUCAGGUGGCUUUUGAAAAGAUUUUCCUCAAGUUCAAACAAAGAAAUUUGCAACUUCAGCAGCAAAUGGAGGGUGGACAGCUUAAAGUGUCAUUUGGCAGCAAUGGUAAUGUUGAUACUGUUGCUUGGAGUUUUCUGGAGUGUGAGUGGAGUGCUAACAAAGAAGGAUUUUGAUACUGGUAGCAGUGAGGCUCAAUUGUGGUUGGGUUGCAUUGUUUCUCCUCUAGGUGUCUGGGUCAGGUGGUUCCUAGCCCGACUUAAUGGACGUGGGCUAGGAAGGGCUGGAUAUCUGAAAUGGGUUCCAUUUGGUACUCUGAUUGCCAAUAUUUCUGCAGCUUGUAUCAUGGCAGCCCUUGCUACUGUGAAGGCAGCGGAGGACAAUAGCACCAGCAAUACAGUUGCAGGUGGCAUACAAUUUGGAUUUUUGGGUUGUUUGAGUACAGUUUCUACUUUUAUUGCCGAAUUCAAUGCUAUGAGGGAGAGCACGCAACCUUGGAGAGCAUAUGCAUAUGCCCUUGCCACAAUAAUAAUCUCAUUUGCCUUGGGGAUUCUCCUAUACUGUGUACCUGUGUGGACAAGGAAUUACGAAUGACGUGUUGUUUCCUACUUUUGAAUGGCUUGGAAUUUACUUACCGAUAGAGCUAUAUGAACCAUAAGUACAUGUACGAGAAUAAAAUAACAUUUAAUUACAUGUAAACAGGAGAAAUGUGUUCCACAACACAACAUAUAUUUCAGCCACUCAUAUUGUAGGAAAUAUUCAGUGAGAUAAGGCUUGUUAAAUCUGAUGAGGGCCGCGACUGCUGGUAAGUGACUUGUUGAGGAAUCUUGUUAAGUUUACAAGGAAAAAAUGGUUUGUAUUAAUGUGUGACAAGUGAAAGCUCUCCAUCGUAUUACUUUUACAGAGGAGUGGUGGAGAAGGUACCCGCGAUUUAAAAAAAAUUAAUUAAUUUUUUUUUCACAGUUUUCACCUUUUUAAGUUUAGGGUUUGCUUAAUCCGCCUUUCUCAGUUAUCUCUUUAUUAUCUUUUCCCCUCUCCUUUCUUUUAACGAUUUGCUUCUUCUACCACAAUCACCUUCUCCACCACUCCUCUCUGCUCGCCAACUCCUCUCUCUCCCUUACGCAGACCAUCAAAGGCUUCCACCACUUCACCAUCGAGGGGUACUCUUGGGAAUGGUGGAAUAUCCAUGUACAAUUCUUAUUGACAAUGAUUUUCAAAGUUGCUACCAGAA